CUGCCCUGCCCUAGUGGUUGCCAGUUCGUUUCUCUCUCCGUGUCCCAUGGGGGCGGGCGGGCUGGCUUCAGGGACUUGCAGCCUCUGCUUGGUUUAAUGGUCUGCUGUCAUUGUCUUGAAAUUCUUCAUAAUUUUUGGAAGGAGGAGGCCGUGUGUUUUCAUUUAGCGUUGGGAAGAGGCUGAGGUUGAGGAGAGUGAGUGCAGACAGAGGGAAGGAGCCAUCUUAAAAUCAGUGGGAUGAAUAGGAUGAGAUUAGGCAUUUUGUAUGGGACUCAAGGAGGCAAGAACAGCCAAGUGUUUAUUUGCCAUCUCAUCAGACUGGGAGCCCCAGGCAGGCAUGGAUGGGUCUGCUUUGGUUCUUCACUCGAUGACCCCAGUGUGGGUGCAGACUCACCGCCCGUACCGAAUGCUCCAAAGAAUAGUUGUGGGAACAACAGCAGACUUCAUAACCAAGCUGCAUGACAGCGGGAUGUGCUUCUUUGGCAAGGGGCGAGUUUCCUCCCGGUCAGCACGCUGGUUAGGCAGAAACCAGCUCCUCACUUGGUGUUGAUCACUGAUAUUUCUGUCCUUGGUUUCACAUGAUGGAGCAUGCCCUCUUUGGUACAUACAUGUCUGUGGCCCUGAACUUGGGGAUCAUUCUUUGCCUCCCGAAGAACUUUGUUCUCUCAGCCUUUGGCCCUCCAGUCAGGAUUCUUUGUGUCUCUGCUGGGUUCCUUUUUCCUAACCCCCACCACCUCCCCAAAUGGGCACCAUGGCACUCUAGCUUAUGCAUGUCAAAAAUGCCCACUGAACAGGAUGACAUAUGCUUCCUGCACCUUCCCUCCCGUAGCCAGCCCUCCCACCCUCAUCCCUGCAACUGAACAAACCAUUUGGUCAGUGUGGGUGGUCUGAACAUAAUAAAGAUGGUUGCAUUGCUCCUGAGUGAUCUACCAACCUCCACUGGCCUUCCCUAUCCUAGGCCACCCAUGCUCCUUUGUUCCUUUACCACGCCUGGAUUUGCUGGAGAAAAUCCUCCAGGUGAGGCAUCUCCAGGAAGGGAGAUGGUGCCGGGAGCCUGUGAGAGGGUCUGUCUCUCUGUGGUGUCCACUCUGUCCUGGGCAGCUGCAGCUGGGUGGGAGAGCCCACAGGUGUUUUCCUUUGGGUGGGGGGUGUGGGAGCCCUCCUCAGUUCUUGGCAGAUCAUUAUCUGUGGUCUGUGCAAGGUCCUUCUCUUGGUGUUUUAAUUCCUUUGGGUGAAAUUUCCCAUGGUCAUUCCUCCCUCUCCCAGGAUGCUGUCCUUCUGGAAUGCUCAAUGGGUGUCUUUGGUCUUUUCUUUUUUUUGAAUGCUCUAACAAAACAUCAUUGCUAUCUUGUGUAUAAGCUCUUUUAAUUCACAUAGAUGGUAUUGUUAUGCCGUUUCUUAUUCUUUUUUUUGUUUUUCAUUCAACCCUAUGUUCUAAGAUGCGAUCUUUCCCUCUCCAUGCUUAAAACCUAUUGGGAUUACCCAGAGUUUUUGUUUAUGUGGGUUAAAACUAUAAAUUCUUGCCACAUUAGACAUUGAGACAGACGUUUGUAUUAAAUAUUUAUCGAUUCAUUUCCAAUAGCAAUGGUGAACACAUUGCAAAUUAACAUAAAUAAUAUUUUAACAUUAUUAUGAAAAUAGUUUUGAUCCUGCAGACUCCUAACAUGUAGUAAAGUGUCAGUUUGUCCCAGAAUGUGAAAAAGGGCACUAUGGAGGAUAAAGUUUGGAAAAUGAAUUUCAUUUAUAUUAUUUUAAAAAUACCUGCAUCGGAAAAGAAACUAUGAAAUAUAUUGUAUUUUAGCAAAGUUUGCUCAGGUUUGAUGGGCUUGCCUCCUUGAUUUACUGAUAAUUGCCUGCAAUAUGGAGGGUUAUUCUAGAUAGCAGAGAUUCUGUGUCUUACCAGGACACUUUUUGGUGCCUUAUGUUGAAUUUGUCAUGUCCUAGAAUAGGUGAUUUUAAAACACAAAAAACAAAACUCAUCACUUAUGAACAUGCUAUAUGUAUACUUUCCUGUUUAUUUUGCUUAUUUAUUUUACAAUCCAUAUCUUGCACAGGCUUUUUUUUUUUUUAAAGAAAACUAAGAUAUUAUUCACCUUUGAAAAGAGGGUUGGUUAGUGGUUUUUAUUAUUAAGCUGUGCAACCAUCCCCACCAUCUAAUUCUGCCUAAUUCCAGGUAGAAUUCCUAAUUCCUAAUUGUUAAGGCCCUAAAGAAUCCUCAAUUCCUGAUAUAAGCAGUCACUCCCCCUUACCUCUCACCCCUGCCCCUCCCACCCCCCACCUAGGCCACCAUUAAUCUACCUCUGGUCUCAAUGGAUUUGCCUGUCAUGAACAUAUAAUAUACAUGGAGUCACACAAUAUGUGGCCUUUUUUGUCUGGCCUCUUUUACUUAAUGUUUUCAAGGUUCAUCCAUAUUGUAGCACAUAUCAGUACUUCAUUGCAUUUUAUGGGCAAUUAAUAUCCCAUUGUAUGGAUAUAACCGUAUUUUGUUUAUCCAUCAGUUGAUGGUCAUUAGACUUGCUUCCACUCUUUGACUGUUAUGAAUAACGCUGCUGUGAACACUGCGUGCAAGUUUUUGUGUGGACACAUGUCUUCUAAUGCUCUUGGAUCUGUUUACUUUUAAAUGUUACCACUUAAUUACAUGUGUAACCAAAGGUUUUUUUUCUCAGGCACCUGUGAUAUAGGUUAAUGAAGUGUCCAAAUCUCUUCUGACAACUCUUUAGAUUUUGCCUCACCAAAUAAUUUAAUAAAUAUACGGGGGUGGGGGGAAUGAAAGGGUACUUUCAGGAUAUCUUUCCAACCUACAGUGAUGUUUGAGAUGCCCCAGAGGAAUCCCGGAGAAUCACAAAAGAUUUGUUUUUGCUCCUUAUUAAAAGAGAGCUGCUGGAAAUAAUGAGGUUUGUGUGAUGUGUUACUGUUGUAAGAUUCGCACAAGAGGGGUUGUCUGAUCAGAAGACCCGUUCCGCCUUCCUGAAGUGAAGCUUACAUGGAUGCGAUGUUAAUGGGAAGCACCCAUCUAAAGUCUCAGGAACGAGUUCUGUGCUGUACCCAGAUAGAGAUGUCUACUCUCCUCCAUUCUGAUGAUAUUGGAGACAAGGAACCCACAGAGAAAAGGAGCACGCUGAGUUAAGAGGACAAAGGGCCGGCACCCUCCACGAACAGGGACUUCGAGAAGACAGCUAUGCCAUUAGCAAGGCCUCCAGUCCCUCCGUCUGGGUCCUUGCAUGUGAGGAAGAGAAUGCUGGGAAAGUGCUCUGGUCUUGUCUGCAGGCCCCAUGGACCAUCCUUUCCUAAACCUCACCCAUUUAAACAAGGAAUUCUAACUCCUGCCUCCUCCAGCAGCAAAGCUCACCUCCUACUUCUUGUUCACUGGCUUCUGUGACCUUCAGGGCCCACUAAGACAGGUGGAAACAACCCAAGUGGCUGUUGAUGCAUGAGCAGAAAAAAAGAUGGUAUAGACACGCAAGGGAGUAUUACUCAGCCUUAAAAAGGAAGGAAAUUCCAACACAUGCUACAACAUGGAUGAACCUGGAGGACAUUAUGCUAAGUGAGGUCCUUCAGCAGGGCAUCCAGCUCAUUCUCAUCAAUGUAGCCACUCCCGUCCUGGUGAUAGGGAGCAGAGGAGAGGCAGCACAGAGCUCUAGAACUCAGGCCCCGCCACCCCUGACCUUGCCUCCCCAUUCCCCCAACUCUUCCCGGGAGCCUGCAGAGUCUAACCUUCCCUUUACUCUGUGCAGAAGGUGUUCACACUGUGCGGUGCCAGGAUGACACCUAACUGCUGACUUUACCAGUCAAGGCAGGAACAGGACAUUUUGGGGCAAAUUUGCAUUCUGGUGUUUUUCAUUUACAUUAAAAAUAUAAAUGAGGUUCAAGAA